ACGCUGGCGGCACGCCUAACACAUGCAAGUCGAGCGAAGUAGCAAUACUUAGUGGCAGACGGGUGAGUAACAUGUAGGUAUCUGCCCUAUGGCCUGGAAUAACACGAGGAAACUUGUGCUAAUACCGGAUAAGUCUUUACGGAGAAAGCUUUAUGCACCAUUGGAUGAGCCUGCACUUGAUUAGUUUGUUGGUGGGGUAAUGGCCUACCAAGACUGUGAUCAAUAGCUGAUUUGAGAGGAUGAUCAGCCACAUUGGGACUGAGACACGGCCCAAACUCCUACGGGAGGCAGCAGUGGGGAAUCUUGCACAAUGGAGGAAACUCUGAUGCAGCGAUGCCGCGUGAGUGAAGAAGGCCUUUGGGUUGUAAAGCUCUUUCGUCGGGGAAGAAAAUGACUGUACCCGAAUAAGAAGGUCCGGCUAACUUCGUGCCAGCAGCCGCGGUAAUACGAAGGGACCUAGCGUAGUUCGGAAUUACUGGGCUUAAAGAGUUCGUAGGUGGUUGAAAAAGUUGGUGGUGAAAUCCCAGAGCUUAACUCUGGAACUGCCAUCAAAACUUUUCAGCUAGAGUAUGAUAGAGGAAAGCAUAAUUUCUAGUGUAGAGGUGAAAUUCGUAGAUAUUAGAAAGAAUACCAAUUGCGAAGGCAGCUUUCUGGAUCAUUACUGACACUGAGGAACGAAAGCAUGGGUAGCGAAGAGGAUUAGAUACCCUCGUAGUCCAUGCCGUAAACGAUGUGUGUUAGACGUUGGAAAUUUAUUUUCAGUGUCGCAGGGAAACCGAUAAACACACCGCCUGGGGAGUACGACCGCAAGGUUAAAACUCAAAUGAAUUGACGGGGACCCGCACAAGUAGUGGAGCAUGUGGUUUAAUUCGAAGAUACGCGCAGAACCUUACCAACACUUGACAUGUUCGUCGCGACUCUAAGAGAUUAGAGUUUUCGGUUCGGCCGGACGAAACACAGGUGCUGCAUGGCUGUCGUCAGCUCGUGUCGUGAGAUGUUGGGUUAAGUCCCGCAACGAGCGCAACCCUCACUUUUAGUUGCCAUCAUUAAGUUGGGCACUCUGAAAGAACUGCCAGUGAUAAGCUGGAGGAAGGUGGGGAUGACGUCAAGUCCUCAUGGCCCUUACGUGUUGGGCUACACACGUGCUACAAUGGUAUCUACAACAGGAAGCAAAACUGCGAAGUUAAGCAAAUCCCUAAAAGAUACCUCAGUUCGGAUUGCACUCUGCAACUCGAGUGCAUGAAGCUGGAAUUACUAGUAAUCGUGGAUCAGCGUGCCACGGUGAAUGCGUUCCCGGGUCUUGUACACACCGCCCGUCACACCAUGGGAGUUGGUUCUACCUUAAGGCAAGGUUUCAAACCCUUGACCACGGUAUAGUCAGCGACUGGGGUGAAGUCGUAACAAGGUAGCCGUAGGGGAACCUGCGGCUGGAUUACCUCCUUUCU
rnacentral:rRNA from 1 species